AAGCGCUUGUGACCAGACUUGCGCCUGGCGGAUCACCCAGCUCCGGCUGGGGUACUCCGCCGGCUCAGGCCAGCACCGGUUCGCCUUGGGGGUCAAAGGUUUAGGGAACGUGGCUCUUCGGAGUGUUAUAGCCCUUUUCAUAAUACCCUGCGGUGGACCGAGGUACGCGCUCUGCAAGGGUGCUGGCGUAAUGGUCAUCAGCGG
rnacentral:rRNA from 1 species